AACGAACGCUGGCGGCAUGCCUAACACAUGCAAGUCGAGCGAGGACUCCGGUUCUUUCGUCGUACGGGUGUGUAACGCGUGGGAAUGUUCCCUUCUCUAUGGAAUACCUCUGGGAAACUGGGAGUAAUACCGUAUACGCCCUUUUGCGGAAUGAUAUAUCGAAGCAGGUUCAUCCGGCGUUGGAUUAGGUUUUUGUUUCGGUUAUGGCUUACCACGCCGACGAUCCAUAGCUUGUUUGAGAGGAUGAUCAGCCACACUGGGACUGGGACACGGCCCAGAAUCCUACGGGAGGCAGGAGUGGGGAAUGUUAGACAAUGGGGGCAAUGCUGAUGGAGCCAUGAUGGGUGAGUGAUGAAGGCAUUAGGGUAGUAAAGCGCUUUCAGCUGGGAAGAUAAUGACGGUACCAGAAGAAGAAGCCACGGCUAACUCCGUG
rnacentral:rRNA from 1 species